GACGUAGGGGGCCAGCGUUGUUCGGAAUUACUGGGUGUAAAGGGUUCGUAGGCGGUGCGGCAAGUUGUGAGUGAAAUCUCUGGGCUUAACCCAGAGGCUGCUUCCAAAACUGCUGUGCUUGAGUGUGGGAGAGGCGCGUGGAAUUGCAGGUGUAGCGGUGAAAUGCGUAGAUAUCUGCAGGAACACCCGUGGCGAAAGCGGCGCGCUGGACCACUACUGACGCUGAGGAACGAAAGCUAGGGGAGCAAACAGG
rnacentral:rRNA from 1 species